GGCCUGCCCACUGAGGAUUUAAAUGGCCGCGGUAUUUUGACCGUGCAAAGGUAGCAUAAUAAUUAGUUUUUUAAUUGAAAGCUGGAAUGAAAGGUUGGAUGAGAAAGUAACUGUCUCUAUUUAGAUUGGUUAGAAUUUUAUUUUUAAGUAAAAAAGCUUAAAUAAAAAUAGAAGACGAGAAGACCCUAUAGAGUUUUAAUUUAGUUGGGGUGAUUGAAAAAUUUAAUAAACUUUUUUUAAAGAUGACCAUUGAUUUAUGAAUAGUUGAUCCUUUUUUAAAGAUUAAAAGAAAAAAUUACCUUAGGGAUAACAGCGUAAUUUUUUUAGAGAGUUCAAAUCGAAAAAAAAGAUUGCGACCUCGAUGUUGGAUUAAAAUUAAGUCUUGGUGUAGAAGCUAA
rnacentral:rRNA from 1 species